rnacentral:rRNA from 1 species
GAAACGACUGCUAAGACUGGAUAGGAGAUAAGAAGGCAUCUUUUUAUUUUUAAAAGACCUAGCAAUAGGUAUGCUUAGGGAAGAGCUUGCGUCACAUUAGUUAGUUGGUGGGGUAAUGGCCUACCAAGACGAUGAUGUGUAGCCGGGCUGAGAGGUCGAACGGCCACAUUGGGACUGAGACACGGCCCAAACUCCUACGGGAGGCAGCAGUAAGGAAUUUUCGGCAAUGGAGGAAACUCUGACCGAGCAAUGCCGCGUGAACGAUGAAGUAUCUCGGUACGUAAAGUUCUUUUAUUAGGGAAGAAAAGAUGGUGGAAAAACCAUUAUGACGGUACCUAAUGAAUAAGCCCCGGCUAACUAUGUGCCAGCAGCCGCGGUAAUACAUAGGGGGCAAGCGUUAUCCGGAAUUAUUGGGCGUAAAGGGUGCGUAGGCGGUUAAAUAAGUUUAUGGUCUAAGUGCAACGCUCAACGUUGUGAUGCUAUAAAAACUGUUUAGCUAGAGUUGGAUAGAGGCAAGUGGAAUUCCGUGUGUAGUGGUAAAAUGCGUAAAUAUACGGAGGAACACCAGAAGCGAAGGCGGCUUGCUGGGUCUUAACUGACGCUGAGGCACGAAAGCGUGGGGAGCAAACAGGAUUAGAUACCCUGGUAGUCCACGCCCUAAACGAUGAGUACUAAACGUUGGAUAAAACCAGUGUUGAAGUUAACACAUUAAGUACUCCGCCUGAGUAGUACGUACGCAAGUAUGAAACUUAAAGGAAUUGACGGGACUCCGCACAAGCGGUGGAUCAUGUUGUUUAAUUCGAAGGUACCCGAAAAACCUCACCAGGUCUUGACAUGCUUUUGCAAAGCUGUAGAAAUACAGUGGAGGUUAUCAGAAGCACAGGUGGUGCAUGGUUGUCGUCAGCUCGUGUCGCGAGAUGUUGGGUUAAGUCCCGCAACGAGCGCAACCCUUGUUGUUAAUUGCCAUCAUUAAGUUGGGGACUUUAGCAAGACUGCCAAUGAUAAAUUGGAGGAAGGUGGGGACGACGUCAAAUCAUCAUGCCCCUUAUGACCUGGGCUACAAACGUGAUACAAUGGCUGUUACAAAGGGUAGCUAAAGCGUAAGCUUCUGGCGAAUCUCAAAAAAGCAGUCUCAGUUCGGAUUGAAGUCUGCAACUCGACUUCAUGAAGUUGGAAUCGCUAGUAAUCGCGAAUCAGCAUGUCGCGGUGAAUACGUUCACGGGGUUUGUACACACCGCCCGUCA